GAUAAACGCUGGCGGCGUGCUUCAGGCAUGCAAGUCGAACGGUUCACAGGACUUCGGUCCUGUGGAUAGUGGCGGACGGGUGAGUAACACGUAAGCAACCUGCCCGGAAGUGGGGAAUAACCCGCCGAAAGGCGAGCUAAUUCCGCAUGUGAUGGCUCUUCCCUGGAGGGGUCAUUAAAGGCGAAAGUCGCUUCCGGAGGGGCUUGCGGCCGAUUAGCUAGUUGGUGGGGUAACGGCCUACCAAGGCGACGAUCGGUAGCUGGUCUGAGAGGACGGACAGCCACACGGGGACUGAGAUACGGCCCCGACUCCUACGGGAGGCAGCAGCUAGGGAUCUUGGGAAUGGGCGAAAGCCUGACCCAGCAACGCCGCGUGGGCGAUGAAGGCCUUAGGGUCGUAAAGCCCUUUUGCAAGGGACGAUGAUGACGGUACCUUGCGAAUAAGCCACGGCUAACUACGUGUCAGCAGCCGCGGUAAUACGUAGGUGGCAAGCGUUGUCCGGAUUUACUGGGCGUAAAGGGCGU
rnacentral:rRNA from 1 species